CUUUAUCAAUAUUUCCGUUCGAUUCUUUACCCGUGAUUUCUGCUUCCGAGUGAUUACUGUUUUUCAUUGAUUCAUUACUGUUCUUUUUCUAUCAUUAUUUACUCUAUCCGAUACAAUACCUCCCUCGUUUUGAGUACAUAUUUGAGUAUCAAUUACCUCCGGGCACGAGCCCGGAGGUAAUGAAUAUGAAAUGAAUUCUGCUUCCUUUUCCUGGAAACUUGCACCUCCGUAUACCACUCCAUACAAAAUACUCUCAUCCUUCUUACCUGUAGGCGCAUCGCCGAUCCCUCUCUCUUCGCUCACGCUACUUACUUUGACCUCUGGCACAUACACAACCUCAUCCUUCUCCUGUUCCUCCAUCCGAGAGGAGGAAUCCAAAUCCUGGUCCUGAGACACUCCUUCAAGUUUUUCUCAAUAAUCGAUCCUCCAUUCUUGCUUCCUCAACUAUUCCUCCACCUCAAAAUGCUCUAGUUGAACGGAGAAUUUGUCGAAAAGAGCACGGCGAGCAUCAAAGCCGUCCUCACCAUACCGCCAUCUUCCUGUAUUGCUAAAUGAAUAAAUCACUUUUAUAGGUUACAUUGAUGACACAUACGUGAAACCGAACCGUUGGCCAUUUUGAAUACAUCAUUUCGCACAUGCGUUUUGUAUACUGCAAAGUGAAGGAUGGACGAUGAAUGGACAUGUUCUCACUUUCUCUCUUCCCUGUGGAAAGGCCUAUCCAGGUAUAUAAGAUGUAUGCCCUCAUUAAACUUUCCGUCAGACGCAUAGAAAGAAUGUUAUCGGCGAAAAACGAUUUUUACAAAAUGCUCGAUAUCUCGCGAACGGAGUGGGUUAGAGAGUUGUACCAAACGGCAUUCGACGGGGAUAUGCGAGCCCUUUCCAACGCCCUUAUUAAACUUGCAGUCAGUCGCACCGUUCCGGAGUUAAUGGCGAAAAACUAUUUUUUACAUCAUGGUCGAUGAUAUCUCGCGAACGGAGAGGAGGGUUAGAGUGAGCUAGCUGACAAGCUAGAGAGUCAGUUAGCUGGCAAAGCGAUGCGCCGCGCGGCGCGGCGCGUCAGGCAGAGUGCUGCGCGCGCAUCUGGCAAAGUGAUGCGCCGCGCAGCACCGCUGCGCCUCUAACAAAGUCAUUCGUCCGCAUGCUCGCCCGCACGCUCGUACAUACACUCGCACGCCCGCCCGCACGCCCGCACAUACGCCCGCACAUACGCGCACGCCCGAUGUAUGAAAUAUUAUCUCACAAUUAUAGAAAAUAACAAUUUUAGAAAAAGACCAUUGUCUGCAUUCACAAAUGACUUUUCUACUUAUUUUUCAAUUAUUUUUCUUAUUAUUUGUUGUACAUAUAUGUGAUGAGAAAUUAUACAAGAGAAAGGAAGUAUGUACGGACAUGUAUGGAGAUAUUUGAUAGAUGAUUUUAUGUUUCUAUAUAAUUAUGUAGAGUUUUACUAGCAACAGAGGCGCGCGCUAGGCGCGCUAUUUUUUAAUUAUUUUGAAUGUUAAUAAUGUUUUCGGAUAAUAUUGAUCUAUUAUUAUUUAUUAUAUAAUAAAUAAGACAAAUCUUAUUGUAAAAAAGGCGUUAAAGGUGUUACUUAUUUCAUGGUGUUUGAUGAAUAGAAAUUUGACAGAAUUGACAGCUGCCGUAAUUGUACGGCGCAUGAGCUGAUUUGGCGAGCCGCGGACCGCGGGCCGCGAGCACGCGUCUUGGCCGUUGGACGUUGGACGUUGGGCGUUGGAGCGUACGUAGGUGAGUGUGAACGUGAAUGUGGAGAAGAACGAAAGCGAGAAUUUUAGCAUACGAUUAGGAUAUGGGAGGAUGGAGCGCAGCAAUUGUUUUGGAAGUGGUCGGAAUGGAAAGGUCGCAUGGACGUUACAGUUAAUUACGUUAUAGUUAAUAGAAGUAUGGUUAGAUUUGUGAUUAGGUGUUUAGUUGGUGAGAAGAUAUGGUAAGGAAAAGUUGAUGGGACAUGAAUUAGAGGGGAAAUUGCGGAUAAGCUAGUUAGGUAGGUAGGUAGGUAGCGCGCGACGCGUACUGCGUGGCUCCGAUUGGUCGGAAGGUGGUGGUUUACGUACCGGGCGUGGCGACGCUACCGCGUGGCUGGAUUAGUGUGGAUGAGGCGUUGGAAAUGAUAGUUGGCUGAUAAAGACGGAUCUUUAUUCUACGGAGAAGGUGUAGGUAGGGGUAGGGAUAUUUAAAUAUGCCUUAAGGCAUGACCUUUGGAAAGAAGGGAAGGAAUUUAGAUAGAAUGAAUAAUUUGGAUGAAAUUGAAAGGCGUUGGAGGAAUAUGUUUGCGUUUUGGAAAGAAGUAAAAUGGUAGGGUGUAUUUGGAAGUGGUGGAAGUGAGUGGGUAAUGGAAAAGAUGGAAGAGAUGGAAAAGAUGAAAAAGAUGGAAAAAAUGUAAAAAAUGGUAAUAAUGUUGGAUGGUGUAUUCGGUUUUGAAAAUGAUAAAGAUUGGUAUUUGUAAGAGUUAUUGAUUGGAAUAUGAUGGGAAGAAUUUGAGGUUAAUUAGUAGAAAUUAGGGAAAUUUGAUGAAAUGAAUGAGUUAGCGUGGCUUGACCCUCUGGUUGGACAGAUGGUACAGGUGCUGCUGAGGAGGAUAGGAGGAUAGGAGGAUAGGAGGAUAGGAGGAUAGGAGGAUCCCGUUGGUAAAAGGGAUUGACCUUACGUUUGCCUUAGGUAAAAAGGACGAUGGAGUAAAAAAGACGGUGUGGAAUAAUAAAAAUAAAAAUAAAAAUAAAAAUAUGAGGGUGAAAUGGACGUUGGUGGUUGAGCGGAAAAUGGAGCGGAGAAUGGAAGCGUAUCGGUGGGCUGGAAGACACUUGGUACGGCGGUUGCGUGCGUACGUACGUGGAGAGGCAGAGGCAGAGGCAGAGGCAGAGGCAGAGGCAGAGGCAGAGGCAGAGGCGAGACGGUGGGGCGCCGUUGGUCGAGCUGACGGAGCGACGUAACAGGGACGUAAGAAUAAAAAUAGUUGUAAAAUUGGUGGAUAUUGGAUAUUUUUAGUGGACAUGGACAUGGACAUGGACAUGAUAGAGAUGUACUGCACUGGUGAUAGACGGACCGACCGGCGGAGAUGCUGUCGGUAUAUCCGUGUAUCCGUGUAUCCGUGUUAAGGCAUUAAGAAGGGAAAUGCGCGCGCGAUGGUAAGGAAAGAAAAGCAGGAAAGCAGGAAAGCAGGAAAGAGGAGAAAAUGAGAGGAAGGGAAGGGAAGGGAGAGAAAAUGGGAAAAUAAUGGAUUUUGUGUGGCGUGUGGGCGGCCUAACGUGGUGGUAACCGGGAUGAAUGCCGUACUAACGAUAUAAAUAGGCGCAGUACUAAGGAGGAAAAAAAAAAA